CCACGCUGUAAACGAUGAUUACUCGGAGUAUGCGAUAUAUGGUAUGCUCUCAAGCGAAAGCGUUAAGUAAUCCACCUGGGGAGUACGUCGGCAACGAUGAAACUCAAAGGAAUUGACGGGGGCCCGCACAAGCGGAGGAACAUGUGGUUUAAUUCGAUGAUACGCGAGGAACCUUACCCGGGAUUGAAAUGUAUACGCUGGAUUUGUGAAAGCGAGUCUAUUCACUUCGGUGACGUAUAUGUAGGUGCUGCAUGGUUGU
rnacentral:rRNA from 1 species